rnacentral:tRNA from 5 species
CGGGGCGUAGCUUAGCCUGGUAGAGCGCCUGGUUUGGGACCAGGAGGUCGAAGGUUCGAAUCCUUUCGCCCCGACCA